GAAGAAAUACCUUAGCGGUCUAAAGGGGUGGUUUGUAGGUCCAUUGAUAGUUAAAUCUUCAUCAGUUCGAAUCUGAUUUUCUUCA
rfam:Babesia microti strain RI apicoplast complete genome